UCUCACCCCGCGUUUCUAGGAAAGGGAUGAGACUGGGAGUGAGAGAGGGAGAAGGGAAACGGUUCACUCGGUUCUUUAAUUCAGAUCGUAAGGCUACCGUGGCCAAUUUUACCCAGUUCAUCUACAGGACUUCAGUGAGUGCAUAAAACGAUAGGCUAUAGAACAUAAUGCAACAAAGACCUUAGAAAUCUGCUGUUCAAGAAUUCAAAAUGUGAAAUCAUCGCGUUGAAAACUAAUAGAGGCUGAGGGAGGAUUUUAACGCAUAAAAUAGUGUGGUUUUGGGUUUUCAUACUAUUGAUGCACAGUAAAAGAACGUUCGUCUUCGUCUAACUUCAAACAACCGGACUUCCAGGUCAGGUAGCUCAACUUGAAAAUCUCCAGCUGAACCAACAGAUAGAUCUUACCACACCGAGACAUUAAAACAGAAAAGGGUACCAGACCAAUUGUACAAUCCAAGCAAAACGUUUGUGAUUCAAACAAAAACAAGAAUACGCCUUGAAAUUGGCACCAACUGCCAACAACUCCGGACUUUCCGUCUGUCUCGACACGCCAUGCCGGCCGGAAAGAAACCCUCCUGUAGCCCCCUCAACCAGCUCGGAAACCGCCAACAAACCAGACCUGAUUAUGCACCGAGUAGCGGUUACCCACACUGUGAUGGUUCAACAAUGAGAUAGCGAUGAACUGAAAAAACAAUGAUGUACUGCAACUGGAAACGACCAUGGAGGUAACGAUGGCAGGAGGUGAUUUGGGACGCACUGGUACCGGGCUUCAGGACGAAUCCUUCGGCAGGAUGGCACACCGCUUGAGUCCCUCGCCACACCAUUGUUCGGACAAAAAACAGCGGUUACUGCACCUGUCUGAGCACCAGUCUAUAUAUACCUGUCCGGAGCCAAGGAUACAAAUUCAAAGGACUUCCAAGUCACCUCCAUUUCCACGAAAAACCUUCCUCCAUUGUUGAAAACAAAACUCGUCUGAUAUUUCUGAGAAGUCGGUUUAUACCACCCACAGUUCAUUGACCUCUGCUUGCUGUUACAAGUGAAGAUGGGGACCAUAACUGCUUGAACCAACGAGAUACCCAUAAAGAUCGUUCUAAGAUCUGCCCUUGCUUUGUAUGAAACCUACAAGAACCCGUUAGAGGAUUUUUCUUUCCUAGAAUUCCAACUAGUCUUAAGGCUACGCUGAUCUUCAAGAACACCAAUACGCCCAGCUACACCGUUCAUUGCUAAUGGCCGCCAUGAUGUAAGCAUGAAGUGACAUCACAAUUUCGUCACGCAACCCAAAAUCUUCAUGAUAUUUGGGGGUAAAGUUUCAUUUAUGCAUUUUGUUCUUUUGGUUUUUGCUAUUAAUUAUUAUAGCCAGUUUAUAUAAAUGCACACGCUAUGCAAUCCAUGAAAAGUUAACGCAAUUUAAGGCUCUGCUGUUUGGUCUGUUGCGUAAGCACCCCGUGGAUAAACUUAAGUAGGCGCGUUUUCGCUUCAGGCAGGCUGUCUGAUAAAACCAAAAGCAUUCAGGCAGCGGCAUGGUUUUCGAAAACGCCAAUAGUUUCCCUCUUCCUUGUAGGUUAGUCUUUCCUCCAUAGAUUCUAGAUGAAUUCCCGUGUGAUAGGAUUUAUUUUUUGGGUGAGUGAUUAACGUCACUUUUAGUAUACAGUACAUUCCCUUCUUGUAAUGGCCUUUUCGAAACUACGUUUCAGGACUCAGCUCUGAUGUAGGGCCCGGUGGGUCUUAUGCAGAAGCUGAACCUUAAGUUUUAGUUUUUUUCGAAAAGGCCGCAGGUGUCACUUCACCGUAGUUUUUUUUUCUUCUUCUAAAAUCUUUCCCUCCCCUUCUCAAAUUUUAAGUAUUUUAAAGAAUUAUUUUGUAUGGCCAUUUAAAUGAAGGUUUACUUUCUACAAAUGCGCAUACCCAAGUGAAUACCAGUUGCCAACCUGAAUAUUUAGAUUUGUGUGUCGUGUAUGUGUGUGUGAUAUAGUUUAAAAUGUGUGGUAUUAUCUGAAAUAUUGAAAUACGUAUUUCCCUUUUUUGCCCAGUGUCUGGGUCACAUUUUGCCAGUUGAGUAUUAAGACUACAACUCUUGAGAAGUUAAUGAAUUAACUUUCUCAACAUUGUAAACUUAGAACCCUAGCACUAGUUCCGGUAAUUAACUAUAAUAACGAAUCCGCAUGUAACUGGGUAGAACCAGUCACGACUGGUUCAAACCGGUGAUUUAACAACAGCUCUGCCUCGUGCGUCAAAAACAACGAUAUGACCACUUUUAAUCAACCGGCUGCGCUGUGUUAUCUAACGCACAUGCGCAAACCUCGUCACGAAACGCAGAAAUUCUGCGCAUCCGCAGAACCUCUUGCUUAGACAUAACUACAUACAUAAAUGCUGCACGCAAUACAACAACGUAGGUUAGGGCGUAGAUUUAGUAAAAAUUAAAACAAAUUAAAGUAAAAAAAAACAAAAACUAAAAAUGCUGCACAGAUUAUUAAAUUUUGCAAAAAUGCUGCUGUAAAGAAGUCUAGGUUUAAAAACCCUUGGCUUUCUUUUCGCAUAGGAAGGGCAACUCAGGUAUGUUAAAAAAUAGCUAGCAUUAAGUAGUAAUUAGAAAUGCGUAGUAAAAGUUAGAGUAGAUAAACAGUCACUCGGUUCUUUAUAAUUCGCAAUUUUGCAUCGCAUUUUAAACUUUUGAUUUGCAUGACGACCCCCUCCUUUUCAACUUUUGUUUAAAAAAAAAUGUUGGUUUAGUUGAUCUAACAAAACCACAAAGACAUUAUUCAGUGAAAUUGUCGAUCGAGGAUUAAUAGAUUUGGCGACAAGCACAAAAUGCUUUCCUCUAGAAUAACUUUCUCGGAUCUUAGAUUCCCCAUGCUUUCUGGCAUAAACCGAUGGUUCUCAAAUAACAGACGGAAAUAUUAUGAACGAGUUUUUAAACUUUUGUUUUCAUUUAAUAGAAAACAAGAAGUAUUGUCUUAGCGGUUGAAUUAGUAUUGGAUUUUGUUUAAAAUACCAAACUGAAAUGUGUUAUACUAUUAAAUAACUGUGUAUUAUGGGAUUGAAAGUUGUUAAUGUAUGAAAAACUGUGUAGAGAGGCGUGUUAGCUCCGCCAUUUUGUUUUUUGAAGAUGUGGUACGACAUUGGUAAUGUUUGGGACAACCGAUAAAAGUUUACUUGCCAUUUCUAUAAUCAUGUUAAAGUAUACCUUUAUGCACUGACGUCACCAGGCCGCCAUCUUAGAUUUAAACCAACAAGGAAGCAACCGGAACGCGCAGAUGUGUACAUGCGCACUAGGUUUGCUUAAUUAACAACUUCAUUUUGACAUCAAGGUGAGGGCACCCUACUCAAAUGACGUCAUGUGCAUAAUGACAUUUGGUGCUUUCGUUUAGCUUCCCUGGGUCGACCCCGGUGUGUGGCGGGUUUUUUUCCCGGACGAACGUGUAUAAUCACCCACGUUCGUCCUGGACAAAAAAAA